GUGCUCACUUUAGCACCACAUGUUACUAAAAUUGGAGCGACACAGAGAAGAUCAGCACGGCCCCUGCACAGGGAUGACACACAAAUUUGUGAAGCUUCCAUGUUUUAA
ensembl:snRNA U6 U6 spliceosomal RNA